GACGAACGCUGGCGGCGUGCUUAACACAUGCAAGUCGAACGGAAAGGCCCUGCUUUUGUGGGGUGCUCGAGUGGCGAACGGGUGAGUAGCACGUGAGUAACCUGCCCUUGACUUUGGGAUAACUUCAGGAAACUGGGGCUAAUACCGGAUAGGAGCUCCUGCUGCAUGGUGGGGGUUGGAAAGUUUCGGCGGUUGGGGAUGGACUCGCGGCUUAUCAGCUUGUUGGUGGGGUAGUGGCUUACCAAGGCUUUGACGGGUAGCCGGCCUGAGAGGGUGACCGGCCACAUUGGGACUGAGAUACGGCCCAGACUCCUACGGGAGGCAGCAGUGGGGAAUAUUGCACAAUGGGCGGAAGCCUGAUGCAGCAACGCCGCGUGCGGGACGACGGCCUUCGGGUUGUAAACCGCUUUCGCCUGUGACGAAGCGUGAGUGACGGUAAUGGGUAAAGAAGCACCGGCUAACUACGUG
rnacentral:rRNA from 1 species